GUUUCGGCGAAACAAGUCACCUUUAUCAAGAGCAAUUUGCAGACUGAAGGGAGCCUCUUUUUAAAUGUGUUUAAAGCUCCACCCGUAAGCAUGAUGUAACCAUUGUUAUCCAAUCAGGAAUUAGGGGGCGGAGAAAAGUACCAAGCUCAACAGGAGUGAAGCUAAUUGUAGAUUUAACCCUCACAUAACCAAAAUAUAAAUGGAA